rnacentral:rRNA from 1 species
UCUUAGCCGUAAACGAUGAGCACUAGGUAUGGGGUCCAUAGGGUUCUGUGCCGCAGUUAACACAUUAAGUGCUCCACCUGGGGACUACGACCGCAAGGUUGAAACUCAAAGAAAUUGACGGGGACCCGCACAAGCGGUGGAGCAUGUGGUUUAAUACGACGCUACGCGUGGAACCUUACCAGGGCUUGAAAAAUGCAUGAAAUCCCGAUGAAAAUCGGGACCUCCUUUCCGGGACAUGCAUACAGGUGUUGCAUGGCUGUCGUCAGCUCGUGUCGUGAGAUGUUGGGUUAAGUCCCGCAA